rnacentral:lncRNA from 1 species
GGGUACUAAAUCCAUAGCUAUCAGUGUUUAUCUAAUAGGUACUAAGUCCAUAGCAACCAAUUCCUAACAAUUACUAAGUCCAUAGCUACCAGUGUUUGUCCAAUAGGCACUAAGUCCAUAGUUGCCGGUGUUAUUUGUUAGGCACUAAGUCUAUAGCUGCGAAUGUUUACUCACAUCAUCUUUUAUCUCUCAUCAUUCAUCUACCCAUCUCAUACCCAACAUACUUGUAUAUUUAAAAUAAGUAUACAGUUCAAAUCAUUUAAAACAUGUAUAAAAAAAUGUUCAUCCAGCAUAGACAGCAAGUAUUCAGAUAAUAUGAACACAUAACACGUAGUUUAUAUAAAAUACUUCAUAUCUAUGUGUAAGAUGAAAGUAACUAUGCACUCACCUGAGAAGGUGGUGACUCGGUACUCGAACAGUGCUUCAUUUACUUUAAAAUAAUUUCCUUCGACGAAACAAGGGGAUUUUUGUUGGAUUAGUGUCUAAGCCCGUAACCAUAUUUGUCAAGUACUUGACCCGAUUGUGCAUGGUCCUUUUGGGUUGCCUUCACCAGAGCAACUUGACUGGAGGAAUAAUAGAGAAAUAGGUUAUUAUGAUUUAUUAAUAUGUUAUAAGAAUAAUAUAUUAAAGGAGAAAUCAUAUUUGUUUAAUUAAUAUUGGUCAAUAGUUAAUUAAGAAUUAAUUUUGUGAUCAAGUGUAAUUAAUUAAACUAGAAGGGCUGAAUUGUAAUUAUAUGAUAGUUACAAAACAUGGUAAUGGUUAUCCUAAAUAUGGGUUGAACGAAUUUAAGGAGAUAAGGAUCCUUGAAAUCGUCCAAAGGAUAAGGAUAAGGGUUUUCAAGGCUUAUCUUAUGGUUACUUGGUGGGCAAGCAACUAGAUAAGGAUAAGGACUGAAACCCUAAUCUCUACACCUAUAUAAAUACCCCUAAGGCCAUAAGAAUUCGUCCAUGCCUUGUCUAGGGUUCCUAGAGAUGAAUUUCAUACCUUCUCUCUCUCUCUCUCUCUCUCUCUCUUGCCUCUCCAUUUGCUCUUGGUGUUUGUGAGCCAUUAGGGGUACAACACUUGUGGUACUUGCUUUCAAAGACAAGAAGAUUCAAGAUUUAAGUUGUUAUUACAAUAUAACAACAAGAGGUAUGUAUUUCAUCUUUCCUUGUGGAUUUCGAAAUUCCUAGAAGCCUUUUAGGGUUCUUCAAGUGUUCAUAAUGUUGUAUAACUAAUAGUGAUAACAUAGAUCCAACUCUAGGGUUGCAUGCACACAUAGGAUUGUUUGUAUAAAACCCAUCAGUGGUAUCAGAGCCUUAGGUUAACUUGUUUUCAAUUAGUAUUAUACAAUUGUAUGAACUUGACAUAUUAGGGUUUAUUGCCAAUAAACCCUAGGAGGCUUGAAAUUUCGAGAUUAGGGUUUCUAUACCCUAAUUUGCGAAAAUUUGAAAGGGUUUUCAAAUCCUUUCCUUAAGCCUCAAGAUUUCGAAAUCUAGGGUUUGAAAAACCCCAUGAUUUUUGAAAUUAGCCUCCUCCCCAAGAUAAGAUCCUAAAUUUUAGGGAUUUGGAUUAUCCUAUAUCUUGUAAUUAUCCUUUAAUGGUAAUAUAUGGUAAUUAAAGAUUUUGAAUUAUCCUAUCCCAUGAUUUUCGAAAUUUAGAGGGAUUAAAAGGAUUAGGAUAAAUUAAUUGUUUAAUUGGUAAUUAUCCUUUAUGAUUUAGAUAAUCCCUUAUGAUUUAAUAAUUUAAAUUAAUAGUUUAAUUCAAGAUAAUUAUUAAAUCAAGAGUUUUAAUAUUUAAAAUUUUAAUUUAAAUAGUCUUAAAUUCGAAAAUUUUAAAGUGAGAUUAAAACCUAAUUGUUUUGAAAAGUUUCAAAANNNNNNNNNNNNNNNNNNNNNNNNNNNNNNNNNNNNNNNNNNNNNNNNNNNNNNNNNNNNNNNNNNNNNNNNNNNNGGGGGUAUAAGGUUAUGGCCUAUAAAAUGGCCGUUUAAUGGGUGUCCACUCUCACCCACCGCUUCCUUGAUUGGUGGAGGGUCGUUAGUCGAACGGGUAGGAUAGGGCAAACCCUUUCCAUUAAAAGUAUAAUGAAGUAUAAAGUAACUAAAUGUUUUUACAAAAUUACCAAUCUUAGUUACUUUAGGCAAAAGUGAAUUGAUGCAAUUCCAUGAAAUUACACUUUGUGCCCUUGUGAAGACGUUAGUGGAGCGCGUGUGGUUAACCGACACACUAAAUGGUUCUAAGCAAAGGUAGCAGAGGGUGACUCAUUGUUUUUCAUAGUUCGGUGGAGCGUGUGUGGUUAACCGGCACAUCGAAUAGGUGACUGUAACAUUGGGGGCACCAUGUAAGUUUGCAUGGUUAUUCACACCCUGUUUGUGAUCCUCGGCAUCCCAGUCACAAAUCGAGGGGCAUAUCGAGAUUUAAACAUGCCAUUGAAAAGUUCAAUGAAUCUCAAAAUAUCUAGGAAUUUUCAAUAGAUUUAAAACUUAAUUUUUUUUCGUUUUUCAUGGUGGAAAUUAGUGAAUCGUCAUUCACUUACCUUCAAAUGUUCUGCAAUUUGGGUUAUGGCAUCCCUCUCCCGAAUUGUAGAGUAUUGUGUUGGGUCCUAGCCUUAAUAUCUCAUUUGGGUGAUUUAUUAAGGAUUCAAUCAAUCAACUAACUUGAAUUUUUCUCCCAUUUUGUAGAUAUCAAAGUAUGACAACUAUGUUCUUCCCAAAUCUCGUGGAACAAGCUUUUCACAUGAAGCCGAUAUUCCACGAUUUGAUCGGGGAACAAGAGAUCAUGCUUCACUUCUUCCACCUCCUCUUAUUAUUCUCCCUAACCCACAAGUUCAAAAUAUUGAAAAGUUUAANNNNNNNNNNNNNNNNNNNNNNNNNNNNNNNNNNNNNNNNNNNNNNNNNNNNNNNNNNNNNNNNNNNNNNNNNNNNNNNNNNNNNNNNNNNNNNNNNNNNAUGAUUUAUACUUUAUUUUAAUAUGUAAAUAUGCUAUUAUAAAUUGUAACUUGUUCAUAUGAACUUUGUUUUUGACGUUAUUUAUAUCCACGCGUAGGUGGAGACGUACUAUACAACUUUCGUUUAGACUCCGUCGGCUAAUUUUGACUUUAUUUUUAAAGUUAUAUUUUUAACAGGCCGGGAUAAGAUUGGUCAGUUAAAAUCUCAUAACUUCUUCAUCUGAUGUCCAUUUUCAUCUGUAUUUUUAUCGUUACGCUACUAAGAACGAGAUCUUUGAUUCUCGUUUAGGUUGUGUCGGCUAAAAACCGCUCGAUCUAAUAUUCAAAUUUCGGGCUGUACACUGUUAAUCCGAAACUUCGAAAAAUCAUAACUUCCUCAUACGAAGUCAGAUUUGGGCGUUCUUUUUAUGGACGCUUUCGGUUUAACGUAUUCUAAGACCUUUGUUUAGAUCGCUAAGGCUAAAUCUCGCUCUAUCGUAAAUUCACUAUUUACGUUUCCCGGUAUUGUGUCGGUUCCGUCGCGAAACUUUGACAGGUCAUAACUUCUUCGUUAUAACUCGGAUUUCGGCGGUCUUUAUAUGUAUGGAAACCUUGUAACAUAUACUACAACUUGGUUAAGAUUAUUUAUUCUAAAUAAUAUUUUGCCGAAAAGUCAUUUUCGACACUUAUUGCCUCUAAAUUGAUUAGCCCGGAUCUACGGGCGUUACAAUUAUCUCCCCCUUAGGAUGAUUACGUCCCGGAAUCAUCAAUGAAUCAGGGAUCGUAUAAUGACUCCAUACGUCAUCUCUUCAUCCUUGGUAAUAAUUAUAACUUCUAUAUUCCUUCAAGUCUAUCUCUUAGACUUAUUGACUGUAAGCAGUACUCGAUUGUGCAACUGCUUUCUAUCUCAGGUUAGACUCCAAAUUAUGACCUACCAUCAUGUGAUGCACGUUUAGAAUCAGGUCUCUUAUAGUUAUAUUCCAAAACAGACUAUACCUUCCUUCAUGUUCUAAUGUGAUAUAAUCACAUUUUAAAAGGUAGCAUUUCUAGCUACAAGCAACUUUUCUUGAUACCUCUACUGAUCGCUUUUUAUUCCAAUCUUUCGUCUUAAGUCAGAUGCUACAUCGAACUUGAUUUUCUAAACCACAUAGCAGACUCAGAGUAGUCGGACUCAAUUCUAUAUGACCACUAGGGUCGGAAUAUCAACAAUCUUUUUAGUCAUUACCGAAACGAUGGUAACGACAUACUUGAAUAAAACGGUAUUAAUUACUAGCUUCUUGGUAACCUUGUGACUUUACCUGAUCCAAGCGUGAGUCUUGUGCUUCUGGUAGUAUAUGCAUCUACUACCUUUCACACCUACUCAUACUCGUCCCAAGUAUUGUCUCACAGUUUUCCAAGUCACCAUACAAGAAAAUCAGAUAACAGUUUAACACAUCAGAUAGCAAAACGAAGGCUUCAUUAUUUCUUGAAACUAUUACAUAGGUGUUCAAGUUCACCCUAGACUAUGCCUCUAAUAGGCUACAUCAUAUUGUUCUAUNUCUUUGGGUAUGGAUUCCUCAUCCUUGGUUCCUUGCAUGGUUUUCUGCCUCGUCAAGGAUCAUGUGGAAUGCCCUUGGCCUUGGUGGUGUGUUUGGCUUUGCUGCUUCGUUUUUCUUUGGGAAAUUUCUUGAUAGGUGCCCCUUGCCUCCACAUCCGUAGCAUACCUUAUCAUUAUGUGUGCAGUCCUUGGAAUAGUGACCAGUCCUUCCACACUUGUAACAAGUUACUUCUUCGUUGCACUUCCCACAAUGCUUCUUCUAGCAUUUAUCACACCAUCUCGCUUCACCUCCUUCUCCUCCUCCAUGCUUUGAGAAUUUUCUCUCCUUGUUGGACCUUGAAGAUCCUUCAAACUUCCGCUUCUCUCCUGACUUAUCUUUUUCUAGACCCUUUUCUCUUAUCUGGGUCUCUACGUUCUUAGCUGCCCUAACAGCUGUUUUCAAGGUAGUUGCCAUUUUGACCAUUGGGCCAAAGUCAGUGGGCAAUCCGUUAGCAAAUCUAUCAAUCUUGGAGAGUUCAGUAGGAACCAAGUAGGUAAAUAGCUUCAUCCUCUCGGCAAAUGCGGUGGCAUAAUCAUCAACACUCAUCUUCCCUUUCUUCAAGUUCUGAAACUCGUUGUUCAGGUCUAUCAGAUCUAUCUCUGAGCAGUACUGCAUUUUCAACUCUUCCAAAAACUCUUCCCAUGACAUCCUUAGGGCUUCUCCUCGUGGCAUCGUAUCUGCCAGUAGCUUCCACCAGCUCAAGACUCCUGUUUUCAGUUGUCUUACUGCGAAGACAGUCUUUUAUUUCUCGCUAUAGCUGCAGCUCUUAAACACCAUCUCCAUCUCGGAGAUCCAAUCCAUAAUCUCAAUUGACUUUGGGCUUCCUGAGAGACUUGGUGGUUUUGCACCCAAGAAAUUCUUGUACAUUCUCCCAUCCUUGUCGUUUCUCCUUUCCGGGCCAUCCCUUCGUUCACCUGGAGUCCCCACUUGACUCACUUGGCGGUUGUAGUUCCCUUCCUCCGAUUGCUCGGGAAUCAGUUCGGGUUGCUCAAUGGGCAUAGUAGGUUCGUCCCUAUUCAACAUCUGCCUCAUUUCUUCCCUUUGUUCAGCUAACAUAGCCCGAACCAUGGCUUGUACUCCAGCCAUUGUGAUUGGCUCGGGUACAUCUUCUACUACGACAUGUACUUGCUGAAUCACCGGGGGUUGAUUCCUAUUCCCAUUUGCAUUCCCAGCUCCACUGCGGGUUCUUGCCAUUUUGAUCUAUAUACUGAAUAAGGUGAAUCUAGAUCUUAAUUUAGGAUUGACGUUUAAAUCAUCCUUAUCACUCCAAAACGUUUAUAUGCUAGUUCUAAUAUCGUAUUUGUACGUUUAGAAUCCUAAACACAUAAGGUUUCCAGAUCCAGUCGACAACAGACCAUAUAUUCGAACAAACAAUAUCAUAUAUGGCAAACAUAUAGCAUUUAGCACAUAAAAGCAUUUUAGGAAUCUUUCCUAAAGCAUACUAGUGCUCGUGUCAAUUUAGGUGUACUGCCUAAAAUAUAAAAGACACACUCAACUCACAAUCAUCGCUUAGCAUCCUNAUCCAGUCGACAACAGACCAUAGAUUCGAUCAAACUAUAGCAUAAAGCAUAACAAAUCAUUCAACACGUAAAAUCAAUUUAGGCAUCAUUCCUAAAAUAAGCUAGUGCCUGUGUCUAUUCAGGUGUAUUACCUAAAUCUAUUAGACACAAUCAUCACUUAGCAUUCUAAGUUUAAGUCUAGAAAUUUCCUACAAAUUCCUAGUUCACUUAAACUAAUGCUCUGAUACCAAUUGUGACAUCACCAUUUCACGGCCAGAAAAGACGGAUUUUGUUUAUGCUUUAUAAAAAUCAGAGUACCUUUUUAAUAAAAAUGUUGCGGAAUUUGUUCCCAGUAAAACAUGAUAAAUACGUUAUCAAAGCAUUUCCGAAGAAAAGUAUUUUUAAUUCGUUUUAAAACAUUUGAGAUGUCAUCGUCAAUAUAGAAAUAUAAGCAUAAACAGAACUUACAUUUAUUUACACUAGUGAUCUACAUCUCUUUAAUCUCUCGGUGUAAUGUGACUUCAUCUCAACACCUGUAAUAUAAAUAGACUGAGCGGGUCAGGUUGGGAAACCUGGUGAGUACAUAGGGUUUUCAACCCACAAUAAUAUAAUUAUUAUGUUUAAACAAUUACCCAUCCCCAUUAUCUUCUUUACUCUUAAGGAUCUAUCCUAAGAGUCAUCUAUCCCGUAUUCGUUCAUUCUGAAUUCCAUUGCUUCCAGAGUUAUAGGAUUGGCACUAAAUGCAUAGCUGCCAAUGCUCGUUCGUAAAGCACUAAUUCCAUAGCUGCUGGGUAAUAAAUCCAUAGCUAUUAGUGUUUAUCUAAUAGGUACUAAGUCCAUAGCUACCAAUUCCUAAUAGGUACUAAGUCCAUAGCUACCAGUGUUUGUCCAAUAGGCACUAAGUCCAUAGUUGCCGAUGUUAUUUGUUAGGCACUAAGUCUAUAGCUGCCAAUGUUUACUCACAUCAUCUUUUAUCUCUCAUCAUUCAUCUACCCAUCUCAUACCCA